GUGCCUGUUUUGUUGUUUGCAUUAGCAGAAGGACCACAGCCAUCGCCCGUCUCCCAUCUCCAAGAUGGCGGAGGCAGCUUCAACCUCACCUCUCGCGAGGAGUUCGUCCCACUGUCUCUGAUUAGCCCAGCGGUCAGAGGCAACACAGCGCUCUGUGAGAGCCCAGGUGACCGAUUUGUAGCAGUGAAAGAGGACCUACACAUGCUGUAUCUUCUCAGCUCCCGAGGCAGAAACGCUCUUUGCUGGCCAUUCUGUGCUGUGAUCUCCUUGUGUUCUGAUGGAAAUUACAAGCUGCUGGAGCUAUUUCACAUAGAGGUUUCACCUCCUGGUUCCUUCUUUCUCUCUUUUAUGUAGAUCUAAGUCUGGAAAACGGACUGUUAAAUGGCUCUUGUAAUACACUUUUCAGCUCUCUUAAAUGUUAAUGUUUCCCUUAGGGUUCCAUCUUCUGGUCCUCUCCAAUUCUAAAUACCUUGCUCCUUAAAUUCAGUGAAAUGCCAUGAUGUCCUAGGUUUUUUUGUUUUUUUUUUUAAAUUUCCUACGUAAAUCUCCCUUCUGAAUUAUGUCUGUUGAGUUAUUUGUUUAGCUGCCUAAAUCAGAAACUUUGGAAUCAUCUAGGAUGUGCCUCUCCCAUCACCCCAACCUCUGAGGACUAGGUUGAUUUUGUAAAAUAAAAUGAAUCUCUUAAAUCUC